UACAUCCUACGGGAGGCAGCAGUGGGGAAUAUUGGACAAUGGCGCAAGCCUGAUCCAGCCAUGCCGCGUGAGUGAUGAAGGCCCUAGGGUUGUAAAGCUCUUUCACCGGUGAAGAUAAUGACGGUAACCGGAGAAGAAGCCCCGGCUAACUUCGUGCCAGCAGCCGCGGUAAUACGAAGGGGGCUAGCGUUGUUCGGAUUUACUGGGCGUAAAGCGCACGUAGGCGGACUAUUAAGUCAGGGGUGAAAUCCCGGGGCUCAACCCCGGAACUGCCUUUGAUACUGGUAGUCUUGAGUUCGAGAGAGGUGAGUGGAAUUCCGAGUGUAGAGGUGAAAUUCGUAGAUAUUCGGAGGAACACCAGUGGCGAAGGCGGCUCACUGGCUCGAUACUGACGCUGAGGUGCGAAAGCGUGGGGAGCAAACAGGAUUAGAAACCCCUGUAGUCCCAUGAU
rnacentral:rRNA from 1 species